UGAGGAAUAUUGGUCAAUGGGCGGGAGCCUGAACCAGCCAAGCCGCGUGGAGGGAAGAACGGCCUAUGGGUCGUAAACCUCUUUUGUCAGGGAACAAAAGCGAGUAUGUAUACUAGUCUGAGUGUACCUGAAGAAAAAGCAUCGGCUAACUCCGUGCCAGCAGCCGCGGUAAUACGGAGGAUGCGAGCGUUAUCCGGAUUUAUUGGGUUUAAAGGGUGCGUAGGCGGCGAUGCAAGUCAGCGGUAAAAGCCCGGGGCUCAACCCCGGCGAGCCGUUGAAACUGCAGUGCUAGAGAAGGCGAGAGGUACGCGGAAUGCGCAGUGUAGCGGUGAAAUGCUUAGAUAUUGCGCAGAACUCCGAUUGCGAAGGCAGCGUACUGGCGCCUGACUGACGCUGAGGCACGAAAGCGUGGGGAUCGAACAGGAUUAGAUACCC
rnacentral:rRNA from 1 species